GGCAUGGCGUCUCUUCUGCCCACCAUUGGCUGAAGGCCUUGGAGCUGGCGGUAGCGUUCCCUCAGCCCCUGCCUUCUCUCAAGCAAUCCGCUUGCCAACACUACACAUCACCAUUUUCUAAUUGGCUCCCUUCGCACCCACCAAUCAUCAGGCUGACUGCCCCUCAGUGAUGAGAGGAAAACUGCGGGGCGAUUGGCUGUGAGGAAAGCUAGGGUUCUUGCCUCAAGUUUCUACUCCAGUUUCCUUUCAUGAUGGACUGUAAGCUGUCAGCUGAAAUAAACCCUUUCUUCCCCAAGUUGUUUUUGGUCAUGAUACUUAUCACAGCAGUAGAAAACAAACUAAGAUAAUAGUUUAAUUGAAUUGAUUCAUCAAAGGAUUUUAUGAUUUUGUCUCAGUGUUUCUUUAAAAAAAAUGCAACGAAAAUUCAGUUUCAGAAGCUACAAAGAUUUGUUGUACCCUUCAAUAACAAGAUAUAAAGACUGAGCAUGAAGCUUAAUGGAAUUUUAUAAAAAAAAAAAUCAUAAGUGGUGGUAAGAUGACUCAGAACGUAAAGGCACCUCCUAUCAAGCCUGAAGACCUGACUUUGAUUCCUGGGACCCACAUAGUUGAGAGAAUGUAUUCCUGCAAGUUGUCCUGUGACUUCUACAUGUGCUUAGUGACAUGUGUGAACCACCCUGCCCCUGCCAAAUAAUAAAUAAAUAAAUGUUAAUUUUUAGAACUAUUAUAA